AUUGAACGCUGGCGGCAGGCCUAACACAUGCAAGUCGAGCGGAGCGGCGGACGGGUGAGUAAUGCCUAGGAAUCUGCCUGGUAUUGGGGGAUACCUUCCGGAAACUGUCGCUAAUACCGCAUACUAUCAGAUGAUCUUAGGGCGGAUUAGCUAGUGGGUGGGGUAAAGGCCUACCAAGGCGACGAUCCGUAACUGGUCUGAGAGGAGGAUCAGGCACACUGGAACUGAGACACGGCCCAGACGCCUACGGGAGGCAGCAGUGGGGAAUAUUUGACAAUGGGCGAAAGCCUGAUCCAGCCAUGCCGCGUGUGUGAAGAAGGUCUUCGGAUUGUAAAGCACUUUCAGUUGGGAGGCGUUACCGACAGAAUAAGCACCGGCUAACUUCGUGCCAGCAGCCGCGGUAAUAC
rnacentral:rRNA from 1 species